rnacentral:snRNA from 1 species
UUUUUUCGAUUCUAGUCAGGGGCCCCAGCACAGAGAAUUUCGAAAUGAAAUUCUACAGGCAAUGCGAGUUGGGGUGGAACGACGAUAAAG